GCCGGUCCUCGGUAGUGGUUCCCGGGUCAUCCCGGGGGCUUCGAUCGAAGACCGGC
rfam:Kutzneria albida DSM 43870, complete genome.